UUCUCGUUACUUACCCCUAGUUUUACAUUUGACGUCACUUAAUGAAUGAAAAUUGAAACCAAAUAAUCGUGUUUUAACUAACAUUAUCAUUCAAUUAUAAUAGCAUCAUUCAUAAAGAAAAUUCAACUAACAUACUAAUUAUAAUUACGGACAAACAUCUUAGCCUACAUCAUAGUAAUAAAAGUGCAGGGUUACGCAAUCCAAACGCAUUAUUCAGUAAAUGGCCGAUUACACUCUUCAAAUCAAUCAAAAGCAAUUUUCCGAUGUGAUGCAUAAACGGUUGGAGCUGAAUUUCGAAAUUGAUUAAAAAAUAUAUAUUCUUCAAUCAAAUUUUAAUUAAUUUAAUCACUUAUUGAUCACUCGAUCUACUUCUACACGAGCAAACCGACAAAGCAAUUUUAGCAGUAUUAAUCUACUGUGCGAAAGAAUGUCAAAAUUUACGCCAGCCCCGCUGAUAAUGUUGUUGUUUAUAACCAAAUGUAUAACCGCCAAUUCUCAAUUACCUCCCGAAUGCAAUAAGCAAGAGGACAAA